ACCUGGCUGGCUCAGCCGGUUAGAUCACGUGUCUCUUGAUCUCAGGGUUGUGGGUUCAAGCCCCAUGUCGGGUG
rnacentral:tRNA from 1 species